ensembl:lncRNA
CAUUAAUCUUAUUUCUCACCAGCUCUGCAUGGCUGCAGAGGUUUUGGGUCUGCUCUUGCUCACUUGCACAAAAAGUAAUGGUGCUCUGGGUCAGACAGGAACUGGGAUAGGAGAGACCUUCCCUGUGUUUCAGGCUCCUGCUCCAUGCUGCAUGGUUCAGUGCUCUCUUUAGCAGUUUCACUGCCUCGGCUCCCCAGCCCAAGCCCAUACAAGAAACUAACAGGAAAGAAACCACGUCAGCAGUCUCCCACCGGGCUUUAUUCCCUGCAGGCUCUGUGCAUCAAAGGGCAGGCAGCAAAAUGGAGCAACCCAGUGCUCAGUAGGAGCAAAAAUGAGGGGAGAGGGGGUGAUCUCUCAUUAUGGGAUCUGUGCUUAUUGCUGGGGACCUCCUGUCUCACCCCAAACGAGCGACGCCCAUGGAGCUGCUCUCGAUUUCAUGUCUUGAUAACCACCAGCAGUGCUGCCGAAAGCAGGCACUGAAAGGAUUGGAGGGAAGAGCACCAGGAGAGAAGUCUUAUUUACAGCAUUAGGAGCAAAACAGCAUGAUGGAUGUGCCAGGGCAUCAUUUCAUCAGAAUAUCAAGCCGUGAGGUUGGCUACUGCCAUUCAUUCUUGUCAUUUGAAUCCUCUUGAUGUGUAAGAUGACAUUAAAAUCCCAAGAGAGAAAAAUGCUGCAGCUCUCCGCAUCGAAGCCCGGGAUGGUGCGUUGCUGAAGGUGAGAUAAAACAGGCUGCUGGCCCCAGUGCCUGUCCCAGGCAAAGGGAAGGACAAUUCCCAGCUGCCAUGCACACAGGUACAAACUCUCACAGUGUUUACUUCUUGCAAUUUUCACAACCCUGCUCGUAGAGGAAAGUUGGGUUUAUUCUCUUUGUCUUGCUGGUGGAAAGGAGAUUUGCCUUCUUACGCCUGUUGCUGUUCUCUGACUUCUGUUAGCACCUCGAGCAGUGGGCUGCUGGCCAGAUUUCUAAAGGUGUUUAAGCAGAACAGCUGCAGCUGCGUACCUGGAGGGAUUUUUCAGAAGCAUCUCGCUGUAAUUGUUUAUGAUAUUCUGCACUCCCACCAUGAUCUCUCUGGUAGCAUCUCCAUUCCUGCCAGCACUGCAUUUUCUAUUGCAGAACGGAGGUGAAUUUUGCUUCUUUGCUUCUUUCUGGUCCCAGAACUCCAGGAAGCUGUACAAAGAGAGAACAAAACGGGCAAAAUCUGCUGUGGGUGGUGAAACCUGGGAAGGUUUAUUGUCUGUAUACAUAUAUAGAUGGGAUGCUGAGAAGGCACAUGCCUUCACUUACAGCACAAACCCAGUACAAACAGGGAGCUUUCAUAGAUGUGACCUUGCACUGAGGAACAUACAAAUAACUUCCCCAUCCCUUUGAAAAGCAAACUAUGCCCAAGCUGCAACAUUGUGCCCAUGGCUUCUGAGCACCUGAAAGCUCUGUUAGAGCAGCAGUUGAAUCACGGAGAGCUUCCUCCUCAUUAUUGCCUCCAGCGAUACAGCAAAGUCAUAGCAAAUCCUGGGGGUCGUGGCUGUGUUGUUGUGAAGGACCAGGCCAAAAAAAAUACAGCACAUUCAGCACAGAUCUGCACGAAGCCCCGGGACGAGCUGCAGGUGCAGCCUGCACUCUUCGCACAGGGCGUGCAAUCUGCAUCCUGCACUGCCAUCUAUAGCGCAGCACCGCGCACAGCAAAAGCAAACCAGGACCCAACAAAGCCCGACCCGAGGCAGCAGGCUGUGAGCAGCUUCCAUGCAAUUAAUUAAAUGGGAAAAGUAGGGAGCCACAGCCAUGGGAUGGGAUGCGAUCGAGCCCAGGUUGGAUCACACCCACCCGCAUUCCUCUUUCCCUGCCCCUCGUCUGCUUUUGGUUUGCAACACAAUUUCAUCCUCUCCGAAUCAAUAGAGGAACGGCCAGCUUUCUCCAGGGGACAGCUCAAGAUACACCAAAUCAGAGGCGUGAAACCAAAACCCAUUUUGACUCUGAUGAGCAAAGGGAAUUUCUUUUAUUUUUUGAUUUUUAAGGCAGAUGUUGCUUUCAUGCUCUGAAAGCUCCGAAACAGCCGAGUGGAUUUUCUUCAAACUCUUCACACGCACAGAAAUUCACCUUUGGGCUGUGAACGAGCUGAAGAAAUUGCACUGCAAUGGAGAUUUUUACUGCAAUGGAGAUUUUUGUUCCUCCCUUUUUCCUUUUUUUUUUUCCUUUUUUUUUUUUUUCUUUUUUCUUUUUGAUUUGGAAAGUUAAAAGGGUCCUAAAAUAGAAGCUGAGAAUUGGAUUAAACAUCCCUUUGUUAACUCCAGCCCCGCUCCAAGCCUGCAAUUAUCAUUUCUUAAGGUUCCCAUCCCUCUUACACUUCCAACUGCCCCCAUUUUGCGUUAAAAUAACCAAAGAACGGCUCUUGCCAAUGCCACGUGAAGAAGGAGCUUCUGAGAUGGAGCAGGGACAGCCCAGGUCUGGCCCCAUUUCACAUCACUCCAGAACCAAUGAAGGAAAGGGGGGAUGGAGACAGCAGAAGCCUGAAAGCCCAGAGCAGCAGGAUGCCCCAUCCCAACAGCAGCCUCACCCCCAUAUUCACUAACAGUUUGGGGAAAUGAGUAUCUAGCUCAGCACUGUUGGCACCACAUGGGAGUAUCAAGUAGGCUCCUCCAAAAAUAAUGCCUUUUAAUUAUUUCCAUAGUAACUCUGGCAGAUACAAAGAGCACAAUAACACUGUUGGAUAGAGCAAAUUCACAGCUACAAAAUAUAUAUAUAUAUAUAUAGUUUUCUACUUAGUCAGCAGCAUUAGCUUUUACGUUUUCACCAGUAAUGAACAAAAGCCUGCAUGCUGCACUCAUCAACGUCUGUACCAGUGGAGGUGACCCACUGCCACCACAGCUGAAACGCACCGCCCACUGCCUCACUGUGCUCACAUCCACUGUUCAGUCUCCAUAAAUGUUCAGCAAGCAUUGAUGAAAGUCGAUGGGCAGCCGGUUUUCCACACGGAGGAAUCCAGUGACACACCUUUGCUUCAUAUGCACUUCCAUGCCAGACUGCCACUCUGCUGCCAUCUGUCUCACAGCAACAAAAUGUAAUGGAAUUUUGGUGGGAAGGUUCAACUUCUACUGCCAUCCCAUCAACAUCUGCCUCUGAUGUGGUGGGUCAACAUAAUAAAGCAGGAGGCAUUAUUUUUGGAGCAGCCUUUGUAGAAGCCUUGUGCUCUGAAGAAGUGUUCUCACUGACAAGAGAUGGACCAAAGCCUUCAGCUCCUCCACCAGUGACCCCCAUUGGUGCUAAUGGGACAUCUUCCAUCAGUGAGUAUCCCUGUGUGGAUGUGGGGCAGACGAAGCCUGGUGUUAGUACGGGAGGACAGCGGGGCUUUGCAGGUAUCCAUGUGACAGAUUUCAGCCACCCAGAAGUUUGGAGAUGGAAGGAAAGCCAUCCGUAGCAUCCGGAAAUGAUUUGGUGAGAGCAGACGAGCUCUGUGCAGCCCGAUGUGCUCGGCAGCGUGGCUGUUGUAACAGGAAUUACAGUGCUAAAUCGAGCACUGGGAAACAACGCACACACUUGGCAUAGCCACAGGGCUGGCGUCUGGGCUGCAGGGGAGCAGAGCAGAGCAGACAGGAGGAGGUGAACCAGCAGCACUUUAUCAUUUUAGCUAACGAAAUUAGCAGUAAACUUCACCUGUUUACACCUACAGUAAUUCCUCUUCUUGUUCUUGCGAGCCAAGUUCAAUUUUCUUUAUGUCCUCAUGUAUGUGUCUGUAAAUAGCCAAUUACUGCUGUUAGACCCUGCCAAUAAAUCGCGUGCUUUUAUUUGUUCCCCUUCCCUCCAAGCCAGGCAGCACUGAGCGCUGUGCAGCCUGCAGAGGGGCUGAGGCCACACAAAGCCCAGCACAAUUGAGCCCGGUACUAUGGAGCAUGGCCUCUCCUUGGGCGAGCAGCCCUUGGAAGACACAAGCAGCUGGAAUAAGGGUGAUUUCAUGAUCGUAAAAACUUCAUUUCGCUUUUAUUGCUGUAGAAAAGCUGCGGCUAGGUGCAUUUCUCAUGCAGCUGAUUAACCUGAGGUUAGAGCAGAUGUGCACGGCAGCAGCGUGCCUCAACCUUCUUCCACAAGCAAAUCAAAGGCAAAGCGUUGCCGGCACGGAGAGACAAAGAGAAAGGCCCGUGUGCUGCUCCCCACUCCCAACGUGCCUCCCGGUUGCCUAGCGAUCCUAACAAUAUUUUACGAGGCUUUAUUCCUGGGGCACGCUGUGCUAAUGCUGAAUUUGAGCGAGGAGCUCCAGGAGAAGCAUGGAGGAGGCGGAGGUGCCGUCACACCGAUGGACUGCAGCCGGGCUGGGGGGAAACAUUAAACACCAAAUGGCGGUGAUGGGGGAUGAAGGCCGAGGGAUUCAUCCCAGCUGGGUUUGCAUCUGCACUCAGUGGGGCCAGGGCUCUUCCAGCAGUGGCUCCAGGAAGGCUGAUGCCCACAUCUCCUUCUGCCUUGGGCCACACCGAGAGCAAAGGCAGCAAAGGGCAGAAACCUGUGUCAGAUCACAUCCCCUCGCUUUCUCCCUCCUUAGCCCCAUUCUAACACAUUGUCUGGGCAUAAACGAGCCCCUGGGGUUCAGUUCCUUUUUUCAGAGUUCUUACUUUUGUCUUUCAGCCCAGCUAACACAAGCUUUGUUUGAGACACAACCUUCCCAUAGUGAUUACUUUUAACGGUGUCGUUCUUUUUCUUUUAAUCCUGGCUUUAAAAAGAAAAAGAGCACCCUUAAUUUUAUCAAAGAUUACUCUGUAACAGCAAUCUCUUGCUAACAUAAACCGAAUUAGAUUCAGUCAUUAAACUCUUACAUGAUUAUUAUUUUGCUGAUGAGGAAUGACCUUCGGUUACAUUCACCAACUACUUCAUUUCUGCAAAACAUGUAUUCAUAGCAGAACAAAAAUCAAUAGAAAUGUUUUCCUGCCUUCUCAUUUCUCUCCCCCUAUUUUUGGAGUGGUUUCUUUUUUGCUCUCAAUUUCCAGGGUGCAAACAAACAUGUCCCCUCCUGCCUGUAAAGCAAGCACAUUAGCAUGAGGGGUACCCGUAACUGAAAAUUAUUGUAGACAAAAGUGAAAAGUAUUCCAUUGAUUUUUCCACUGGCCAAGAUGAAGGACAAGUAAAUUGGAUUUUUCAAAUCCUUUCGCUUUUCAUACUGUAAGGUACUAUUAGUAAUGUAAGUAGAACUGUUUAUAGCAGAUGUUUUUCUAAAGUCGACAGCGUGCCCUCAGAGUGACGCGCAGUGAUUGUAAAUCUCGUGCUCUCCUGCACUUGGAGCAAAAACCCUCAUCUCAUGGACAGACCCUGCUAAUGCAGCCGGGUGGGAAGGGCAGGGUUGAGUGGGAAAAUGAGGGAGCUUCACACUCAAUGCAGGAUUUUACUGAGUGGUGGGGUCAGUGCUGGGGUUUAACUGAAGGCCAGGUUUGCUCAGUGGAGGUCUCUGUCAAAGGAUAUGUACAUGAGGCUCUUCCCAGCAUCUGCUCCCUGCUGAGAUCCAGCGAUCCCAAAGGAUGCUCAUGGCCAAUAGGAACAAAAGUGUUUUACAGGUGCCUUUGCUGAUCCAUCCUCCAAGGAUAACCCAUAGAGAACCAACCCAAGGACAGGACACAGUGACUUCAGAUCUCUCUGUGGGACACAUUGCAGCUGCUGGACAAGAGUGUUUCCCACCAUAGCCAGUGCCAUGGCAGACCCUGCACACUGUGCCUCUGUGGGAGGGAAUCCACCCCUAUGGGAGGGAAGCAGAACCAGGUGCAGGCUGCACCCUUCCUGUGGUUUGACCCAACCUGAGAUGCUCAGAGCCACGGACUGGGUGAGAGAAGCUGAACCCGCAGCUUUUCUUUUCUUUCCAGCAUGGCUUUGCACAGUGCUGCUCUUUUCCUUUUGAAGCACAGCGUUUCACCCACAGGGUGAUGGGGAGGUUGUGCAUUACUGGAAGGGAGAUUCACUUAGGAAGACCUCAGUGCAGCUGUCACCAGCACUGUGGUGACACCGGGUGAGGGCUGCUGGGGGAGAGGCUCACCGGACAGAGGUGCUUCCACAUCGCCCUGACCCUCUGUGUGAGGUUUGUACCUGCAGAGAAGAGGGCAGCUGGGAUUGCUGCAUUUGGGACAGCCAGCAUCCAGGCUGUGGGUUUUCUGCGUAAACCUUUUGUAAUCACACCGGGCAAACUGCAGCUUUAUUGGCUUUCCAGCUGCUCAGGCAGGUUGUGAAGUAAGAGGUUUCAGAUCAGCUGCUCCCAGCCCCUCAGACACCACACAGACCUCACUGCAGCGGCAGACAGGCAGCUAAGGAUGCUCAUAAAAGUCCAAAACCAUAUCCUUUCAGUCUGAGCAGCGUCACGUUUGAUAUCAGACCUUAUAUUUAUUAGUUCAGUUGUUUUUCGCUGUUGAAAAGUUUGUGUGCUCUCUGUUUUUCUCUCCGUUCACAUCGACAGAAAGUGAGAAAAUGGGAUCGUUCAGAAAGGACUACAGCAAAUAAUUCAGAGCUGCUGUGUGUCAUAUAUCUCACCAAGGCCCGACUUUCAAGCCAAAUAGAAAGAAAGUUAGCUGGGGGGGGGUGUAAAGCUUGAAUAGCACAUCACAGUGUAAAGUUUAUGAAUUAUUUUAAGUGCAGCCCAUGAAAUGGUAUUGGUUUUGUAAAAUUAUCUCGACAACAAAUGGUCUUGUUCAAGGCUUUCCAAAACGGGCGCUCGUACAUCAGGCACUCCCUGGCACGGAUUCGAGAGCGGUGACAGCAGAUCUGCAUUGGAAAUGAGCAGAUCACAUAACGUCUUAGGGAAAGGCAAAGUCUGGGCAUCAGAUGUUCCUGGGUCUUUAUUGUAUUUCUGAGAAUUUGCUGUGAAAAUGCAGUCCUGAUAAGUGUGAUUUGAAGGGAAAAAAAAAUCCAAGUGAAAUAAACUGUGAUGGAAACAUUUGCAGUGUGCUGGAGCUUACAGUAAACAGGAGUACAGCUGAUGGAG